rnacentral:rRNA from 1 species
UACGUAGGGUGCGAGCGUUGUCCGGAAUUAUUGGGCGUAAAGGGCUCGUAGGCGGUCUGUCGCGUCGGGAGUGAAAACUCAGGGCUUAACCCUGAGCCUGCUUCCGAUACGGGCAGACUAGAGGUAUGCAGGGGAGAACGGAAUUCCUGGUGUAGCGGUGGAAUGCGCAGAUAUCAGGAGGAACACCGGUGGCGAAGGCGGCAUCCUGGACCGGCAUUGACGCUGAGGAGCGAAAGCCAGGGGAGCAAACGGG